UACGAAGGGGGCUAGCGUUGCUCGGAAUCACUGGGCGUAAGGCGCACGUAGGCGGCUUCUUAAGUCAGGGGUGAAAUCCUGGAGCUCAACUCCAGAACUGCCUCUGAUACUGAGGAGCUCGAGUCCGGGAGAGGUGAGUGGAACUCCGAGUGUAGAGGUGAAAUUCGUAGAUAUUCGGAAGAACACCAGUGGCGAAGGCGGCUCACUGGCCCGGUACUGACGCUGAGGUGCGAAAGCGUGGGGAGCAAACAGG
rnacentral:rRNA from 1 species